AUCGCUUCUCGGCCUUUUGGGCUAAGAUCAAAUGUGUAGUAUCUGUUUAAGCCAGCCGUAAAACGUGCGUGUUUCACGAAACUAUUAUCAUCACCAUUGGCUCGAGCGUCGCCGUCUUCUUCCGCAGCUGGCUCGUUGGGGACCCUCGGUUAGCGCUCGUACUCGUGCUCGGCACGCGCUCGUGCCACUGAUCCCGCGUU